rnacentral:rRNA from 1 species
CAACGGAUGUGUACCAACGAUUUUAAAAGAUGUGUUGUUUGUCCCACCUCCCACAUGACCACAUCCCACCUCCCGCACUUCGAGCUAACCGGUACCUCCAUAGAUGCCUCCUCCACCCAAAUAUCACGCAACAAAACAUUUCUAUCCGCCAUCUGUCUCCCAAGAUUCCUCUCUCUCUCUCUCUCUCUCUCUCUCUCUCUCUCUCUCUCCUUCCAUGAUCAGCGGCCGCCACUUCCGAUUCCGGCUAGAUCCGGCGAUGUCUCGCGUCGUAGGUCAUAGGCCAGCACCCCCCAACCUCCCAGUACUCUCCUCAUAUAUUCCGCCGUGGCGACGCCCUCUGCGUCCCUGCACGCGUCUCUAUGGCAACCGUAGUCGCCACGCGUUGCCGGCGCCCGGCGCAGCUCCCACGCCUCUGGUUUGGAGGGCCACCACCCAGCGUCUCAGCAUGCGCUGCUGCCGGCUUGGGCAUGACGGUGCUGCUCCGCCUCGGCUACCUUGUGUCGACGGUCAAUCAGGAUUGCAGGUUGGAUCUGAAACAAUUUGCGGUGUAGGGUGCUGCUCCCUUCUCUCGGUGCUGGCUGGCAGUGGAGACAGGUUCGAGGUAGGAGGAGCUCGGGCUGGAGCCCCGUCCGUAUUCCUCAAUUACCAAUGGGAUCCCGCCUGUGUUGGUGGUUCUUGCGGCUCUCAAAGCCUUCGGCGGCGAUGUGGCUCCUUUUGUAUUUAUUUUGGUGCCCGUCCUGGUCCUGUUCCGAUUCCUGGCUCGCGUGCAUGUGCCCGUGAUGUGUGCGCGUGCUGAUGGAUAUUACAACCCUUCGUGACGCUGAUUGUUUGCUACCACCGUUGUCUGCUAUUGCUUUUGUCGCUGACUGCUAUUGCUACUGCUGCUCAUUUUUCUGCUAUUUAGUACUAAUACAGUAGAUAGAAGAUGAUCUGCAUUCCCAAAGAAAAUAAAUAGAAGAUAAUCUGUAUGUUUGAAAAUUGUGAACCGAGCCAACUACUUGUUAUCUCUUCUCUAAACUUUCUCUUGAUCAGAUUCUCUUUUGUGCUGCAAAAAUUACUCAAUGCACAUAUAAUUAAUGUGUUCAGUAAAACUCAUGGAAAAAUCUAGCUCCUUAUUGAUUCCAUGGUCCCUUUUCCUUACAAUUGUUUGCUUUAUGUGUCUCGGUUCCAAUUGCAGAGAAAAUAUUUUUCAGAAAAGGAAAGUAGGAUUUCAACGCUGUGCGCCCGUGCUCCACACCUGAGUUUGAUCCAACUGGAAUUCGUGGUGUUCAAGAAUGAUGCCUCAUCGUGUAAACAGGUUCAAUUUAAGUGGGAGCCAUGAAUAAGUUUAAAAAAGUAGGGUUGUAGACUUGUAGUCGAUAUAGAGACAAGAGCUGACCAAUAUGGAGCAGACUGACAAUAUUAAUGGAGAUACCCAGUCUCGCAUGCUUUAUUCUUAGUUUAUGCAAUAACUGUGAUGUUUACAAGAAACUGUCCUACAUUACAGGUCAGGUUUCAAACUGUUGACAAUAGACGCGUAAAUAGAUAAUAUUAUGUUGAAAUCUUUAUUUUUUUGGCGGAUUGUGUAAGGAAUUAACUUGCUUUAAUGUCGUGCAGCUUCAGGGGCAGAUGGUUAUGUAUGGCUUACUACCUCAUCGCGGAAUGUGGGGCAACCCAGUCGCUUCCUUGAAUACCGUCCCCUCGUUCAGGCCACUAAGGUUGAGAAUUUCAAUACUAGAUGAUUACUUGGAUCCUUUGAAGAAUAUAUGCUGAUUCUUGGUACUUGGAGGAGAAAGAAGACAAUUAUAUGACUGUUUAGAAAUUUGUGUUCUAUUUUUUUCUAAGUGAUGUACUCCUAAUUGAUGAUACUUGCAAUGUAAUGUAACAUAUUGUUCCAUUAAAUCAAUAUAUCAGUUUCAUUUCUA